rnacentral:rRNA from 1 species
GACGAACGCUGGCGGCGUGCUUAACACAUGCAAGUCGAACGGAAAGGCCUGCUUUCCCUUGUGGAUUGCGGGUACUCGAGUGGCUAACGGAUGAGUAACACGUGAGUGAUCUGCCCCCAACUUGGGUAUAAGCCUGGGAAACUGGGUCUAAUUCCCGAUAGGACUGCAGGGUGGUGCCUGUGGUGGAAAACGUUUUUCUAGUUGUUGGGGAUGAGCUCGCGGCCUAUCAGCUUGUUGGUGGGGUAAUGGCCUACCAAGGCGGCGACGGGUAGCCGGCCUGAGAGGGUGGACGGCGACAGUGGGACUGAGACACGGCCCCGACUCCGACGGGAGGCAGCAGUGGGGAAGAUUGCACAAUGGGCGGAAGCCUGAUGCAGCGACGCCGCGUGGGGGAUGACGGCCUUGGGGUUGUAAACUCCUUUCGACCGCGAGGAAGCCACCUGGUUGGAAGGGUGGUGACGGUAGUGGUAGAAGAAGCACCGGCUAACUACGUG